UUAAGCGACUAAGCGUACACGGUGGAUGCCCUGGCAGUCAGAGGCGAUGAAGGACGUGCUAAUCUGCGAUAAGCGUCGGUAAGGUGAUAUGAACCGUUAUAACCGGCGAUUUCCGAAUGGGGAAACCCAGUGUGUUUCGACACACUAUCAUUAACUGAAUCCAUAGGUUAAUGAGGCGAACCGGGGGAACUGAAACAUCUAAGUACCCCGAGGAAAAGAAAUCAACCGAGAUUCCCCCAGUAGCGGCGAGCGAACGGGGAGGAGCCCAGAGCCUGAAUCAGUGUGUGUGUUAGUGGAAGCGUCUGGAAAGGCGCGCGAUACAGGGUGACAGCCCCGUACACAAAAAUGCACAUACUGUGAGCUCGAUGAGUAGGGCGGGACACGUGGUAUCCUGUCUGAAUAUGGGGGGACCAUCCUCCAAGGCUAAAUACUCCUGACUGACCGAUAGUGAACCAGUACCGUGAGGGAAAGGCGAAAAGAACCCCGGCGAGGGGAGUGAAAAAGAACCUGAAACCGUGUACGUACAAGCAGUGGGAGCCUCUUUAUGGGGUGACUGCGUACCUUUUGUAUAAUGGGUCAGCGACUUAUAUUCUGUAGCAAGGUUAACCGAAUAGGGGAGCCGAAGGGAAACCGAGUCUUAACUGGGCGUUAAGUUGCAGGGUAUAGACCCGAAACCCGGUGAUCUAGCCAUGGGCAGGUUGAAGGUUGGGUAACACUAACUGGAGGACCGAACCGACUAAUGUUGAAAAAUUAGCGGAUGACUUGUGGCUGGGGGUGAAAGGCCAAUCAAACCGGGAGAUAGCUGGUUCUCCCCGAAAGCUAUUUAGGUAGCGCCUCGUGAAUUCAUCUCCGGGGGUAGAGCACUGUUUCGGCAAGGGGGUCAUCCCGACUUACCAACCCGAUGCAAACUGCGAAUACCGGAGAAUGUUAUCACGGGAGACACACGGCGGGUGCUAACGUCCGUCGUGAAGAGGGAAACAACCCAGACCGCCAGCUAAGGUCCCAAAGUCAUGGUUAAGUGGGAAACGAUGUGGGAAGGCCCAGACAGCCAGGAUGUUGGCUUAGAAGCAGCCAUCAUUUAAAGAAAGCGUAAUAGCUCACUGGUCGAGUCGGCCUGCGCGGAAGAUGUAACGGGGCUAAACCAUGCACCGAAGCUGCGGCAGCGACACUAUGUGUUGUUGGGUAGGGGAGCGUUCUGUAAGCCUGUGAAGGUGUGCUGUGAGGCAUGCUGGAGGUAUCAGAAGUGCGAAUGCUGACAUAAGUAACGAUAAAGCGGGUGAAAAGCCCGCUCGCCGGAAGACCAAGGGUUCCUGUCCAACGUUAAUCGGGGCAGGGUGAGUCGACCCCUAAGGCGAGGCCGAAAGGCGUAGUCGAUGGGAAACAGGUUAAUAUUCCUGUACUUGGUGUUACUGCGAAGGGGGGACGGAGAAGGCUAUGUUGGCCGGGCGACGGUUGUCCCGGUUUAAGCGUGUAGGCUGGUUUUCCAGGCAAAUCCGGAAAAUCAAGGCUGAGGCGUGAUGACGAGGCACUACGGUGCUGAAGCAACAAAUGCCCUGCUUCCAGGAAAAGCCUCUAAGCAUCAGGUAACAUCAAAUCGUACCCCAAACCGACACAGGUGGUCAGGUAGAGAAUACCAAGGCGCUUGAGAGAACUCGGGUGAAGGAACUAGGCAAAAUGGUGCCGUAACUUCGGGAGAAGGCACGCUGAUAUGUAGGUGAAGUCCCUCGCGGAUGGAGCUGAAAUCAGUCGAAGAUACCAGCUGGCUGCAACUGUUUAUUAAAAACACAGCACUGUGCAAACACGAAAGUGGACGUAUACGGUGUGACGCCUGCCCGGUGCCGGAAGGUUAAUUGAUGGGGUUAGCGGUAACGCGAAGCUCUUGAUCGAAGCCCCGGUAAACGGCGGCCGUAACUAUAACGGUCCUAAGGUAGCGAAAUUCCUUGUCGGGUAAGUUCCGACCUGCACGAAUGGCGUAAUGAUGGCCAGGCUGUCUCCACCCGAGACUCAGUGAAAUUGAACUCGCUGUGAAGAUGCAGUGUACCCGCGGCAAGACGGAAAGACCCCGUGAACCUUUACUAUAGCUUGACACUGAACAUUGAGCCUUGAUGUGUAGGAUAGGUGGGAGGCUUUGAAGUGUGGACGCCAGUCUGCAUGGAGCCGACCUUGAAAUACCACCCUUUAAUGUUUGAUGUUCUAACGUUGGCCCCUGAUCGGGGUUGCGGACAGUGUCUGGUGGGUAGUUUGACUGGGGCGGUCUCCUCCUAAAGAGUAACGGAGGAGCACGAAGGUUGGCUAAUCCUGGUCGGACAUCAGGAGGUUAGUGCAAUGGCAUAAGCCAGCUUGACUGCGAGCGUGACGGCGCGAGCAGGUGCGAAAGCAGGUCAUAGUGAUCCGGUGGUUCUGAAUGGAAGGGCCAUCGCUCAACGGAUAAAAGGUACUCCGGGGAUAACAGGCUGAUACCGCCCAAGAGUUCAUAUCGACGGCGGUGUUUGGCACCUCGAUGUCGGCUCAUCACAUCCUGGGGCUGAAGUAGGUCCCAAGGGUAUGGCUGUUCGCCAUUUAAAGUGGUACGCGAGCUGGGUUUAGAACGUCGUGAGACAGUUCGGUCCCUAUCUGCCGUGGGCGCUGGAGAACUGAGGGGGGCUGCUCCUAGUACGAGAGGACCGGAGUGGACGCAUCACUGGUGUUCGGGUUGUCAUGCCAAUGGCACUGCCCGGUAGCUAAAUGCGGAAGAGAUAAGUGCUGAAAGCAUCUAAGCACGAAACUUGCCCCGAGAUGAGUUCUCCCUGACUCCUUGAGAGUCCUGAAGGAACGUUGAAGACGACGACGUUGAUAGGCCGGGUGUGUAAGCGCAGCGAUGCGUUGAGCUAACCGGUACUAAUGAACCGUGAGGCUUAACCUU
rnacentral:rRNA from 1 species